CAAGAUCACACCACUGCUCCAGCCUAGGCUACAGAGUGAGACUCUAUCUCAAAAAAAUAAAAAUAAAUAAGUAAUAAGAGAUCAAGAAAACAGACAUAAAACAAUGAUAGUGAUAAUAAGAUUGAAAGAAGAGAUUACAAAAGAAGUUUUUUGGUUUUUUUUUAGUCAAAAACGUAAACGUUGCCGUCUCUGAAGGGUGACCAAGUAUUUAGGUCAUCCCUGGUUCUGCUUAAGAGAAAAAGUUCUUUUCUCCUUCCUUGUGUUUUGUGGUUGCAGCUUGCUUUGAAGGCAUUUUCUACUGAUUAUCACUCAGCUGCUGCAUGUGUCUGAACUGGGAAGAAAAUAGGGAAGAAAAAUGUCUCAUGUCAGCCUCACAUCACAGAGAAGCAUGGAAAGCCCCCAUCAAUCACAGACAAGAGGCUAGCCCUAGUCAGAAGAGCUUAUCUCCGGCUACUUUCCUUUCAGGUGGGAACAGUUGAAAUUGCCACUAAAUCACAAAAGGAAAAUCACUCCUUGGUGUUUUUCCAUCUCCAGGAGAUGUGCUAGUUUUAAUGGCCCAUUGGCCAUUGGCCUGUGCAUCCACUGAUGUUGGCAUCCGUAGAUGCUGAAGAUGAACGCCAACCGUUAUAUGAUAACCCAGUAAAACAAAACCAGUUAAGCAUCUCAA